GACGAACGCUGGCGGCGUGCUUAACACAUGCAAGUCGAACGGAAAGGCCCUGCUUUUGUGGGGUGCUCGAGUGGCGAACGGGUGAGUAACACGUGAGUAACCUGCCCUUGACUUUGGGAUAACUUCAGGAAACUGGGGCUAAUACCGGAUAGGAGCUCCUGCUGCAUGGUGGGGGUUGGAAAUUUUCGGCGGUUGGGGAUGGACUCGCGGCUUAUCAGCUUGUUGGUGGGGUAGUGGCUUACCAAGGCUUUGACGGGUAGCCGGCCUGAGAGGGUGACCGGCCACAUGGGGACUGAGAUACGGCCCAGAAUCCUACGGGAGGCAGCAGUGGGGAAUAUUGCACAAUGGGCGGAAGCCUGAUGCAGCAACGCCGCGUGCGGGAUGACGGCCUUCGGGUUGUAAACCGCUUUCGCCUGUGACGAAGCGUGAGUGACGGUAAUGGGUAAAGAAGCACCGGCUAACUACGCG
rnacentral:rRNA from 1 species